CCCUAAACAUAGAUUUUUUCAANAAAAAAAAUCCGCCCAGAGUCNUUUUACCCAAAAUUUGGAACUCAAAGGGCUUGGCGGGGNCUCAAACCCCACUNGAGGAGNCUGUUCUAUAAUCGAUAAUCCACGAUUUACCUCACCACCCUUAGCCCCCAGCCUAUAUNCCUCCGUCUUCAGCCUACCCUGUGAAAGGAUUAAAGUAGGCACAAUAGUCAACAAGCACUAACAAGUCAGGUCAAGGUGUAUCCAAUUAGGUGGAAGAAAUGGGCUACAUUUUCUAUAAUAGAAAUAUUCUUACGGAGGGCACUUUGAAACAGGACCCAAUAAGCAGGAUUUAGCAGUAAUGUAGAAGCAGAGAGCCCACAUUAAUUAGGACCUGAGAC
rnacentral:rRNA from 1 species